rnacentral:sRNA from 1 species
UUAUGGAGAGGAAAUAGUUGUGCAGUGAUUCCACACUGCAGUUAUCUAACUCGGCAGGGACCUCUGGGCAGUGAGUACUCACGGUACAGUCUCCACACCUCUAACCAUGUGCUCCUCUCCUUCCCAAGGAACCUGGAGACCAUCAUCUCAUUUCCUGGGGGAGAGAGCCUGCAUGGUUUUAUACUGGUGACUGCUUUGGUGGAGAAAGCAGCAGUGCCUGGGAUAAAGGCUCUUGUUCAGGCCACGAAUGCUAUCUUGCAGCCCAACCAGGAGGCCCUGCUCCAAGCCCUGCAGCAACUGAGACUGUCUAUUCAGGACAUCACCAAAACCUUAGGACAGAUGCACGAUGGAAAGACAACCCAGCAAUGCCUGCAGGGCUGAGAUAUGAAGGAGUUUCCCAAGAGCCCCUGAAAUACUCUGGCGGGAGUGCAGCUCAGAGCACAGUGCUUCAUGCCUUUGAUGAGUUCUUAGGCAUUAAUCAUAGCAAGGAAAGUGCUGACUUUCUGUACAGAAUGAGGGAUUACAUGCCUCCUUCCCAUAAGGCCUUCAUAGAAGACAUCCACUCAGCACCUUCCCUGAGGGACUACGUCCUGUCCUCUGGACAGGACCACUUGCUGACAGCUUAUAACCAGUGUGUGCAGGCCCUGGCAGAGCUGCGGAGCUAUCACAUCACCAUGGUCACCAAAUACCUCAUCACAGCUGCAGCCAAGGCAAAGCAUAGGAAGCCAAACCAUCUCCCAGGGCCUCCUCAGGCUUUAAAAGACAGGGGCACAGGUGGAACCGCAGUUAUGAGCUUCCUUAAGAGUGUCAGGGAUAAGACCUUGGAGUCAAUCCUUCACCCACGUGGUUAGGAGGCUGCCCUCUCCCCAGCAAUGCAGAGCCCCCAUGGAGGGCCGGUGGGCCUGGAGAAUGAGGGUCAGGGUUCUGCCUGGGAUCAUCCAGGAAGGAUCUCAGCCCUGUUCAUGUUUCUGCUCUACAGAGCACUAUAUUCUCCUUGUUGAGAGCUGUUGACUUCACCAAGGACAGUUGAUGUGGCCAAGCCUUUCCUUCCCUACCUGAUCACUGCUUAACAGCAAGUAUAAUGGAUACUUCCUCAUGCAGAACCCCCAGAGGACUGACUGUACGCCAUUCUCUUUGCCAAGUAAUGGAAAACCAAUCUAAAUUUCAAAAAUCAGAUAAAAUUGCCCGGGGAUACAUUACUUGUUGAUUUUCUUAAAAAAACAAAUUCACUUAACAAUUCAUUAAGUUCAUACUGAGCACUGCCUCCAAGAUUAGAAUAAGAAUUUCUGUGGUCCCAGACCAGCCCUCUUCUCCCUGAAUGUGUUGAGUUGGUGGCAGGAGGUUGGAAAUGCUCCAGUGGAGAUGGGAAGUAGAGGAUGCUGACAAUAAGGACUUGGAAGUCACUAGUUUGAAAAUGAGCAGUUAAUGAUACGGGAAUGGAUGAGACUUUCCACAUGGUACCUAGAUUUGCAAAUUCUAUUGUAAUGCCUUUAUUUUUAGAAGAAUUAUUCUCUCUUCUUACUCUGAAAAUCUGUAUUUGUAAAAUGAAUGAAUGGAUCCUAUAUAAGUAAAUAAGAAAACUGGGAAUAAGUAGUAAAUCGAUGUGUUUAGUGUGCAAAUAAAUGUAAAUACUUUUAUUG